rnacentral:rRNA from 1 species
CUUGACGGAAUUUUUUAAAGUAUGUUUUUGUACCGAAAAGUUUUGAUUUUGAGUUUAAUUGUUUGGGAUUUUUGUGAGGCCUGGGUAAGGUUUUGUAAAUUAAAUUUAUGGUGUGAUAAGUAAGUCGUAUAACUUUAUAGCUGUUUAGUUGUUGAUUGUUUAGUAUUAUAUAUGUGGCGAUUAGGUCGUUUAUAUUUUUAUACAUUUGGUUUUUAUAUGUGUUGUUUGAUGAGGUUAGAGGUACCUAGUCUUUGUUAGAUUGUUGUAAAUAUGGUUUAUUGGUUUGGUUAUGUGUUAAUCGUUUUUGACAACUAUUUUAUUAUAUUUGGUUAUUGUAUUAUCGUUGAAUUAGUAAUUUUAUUAUGCUAUUUUUUUCUUGAGUUCUUUCCGUCUGUUUAUUAAAAACAUUUCUAACUUGAAUUAUAGUUGGUAGUGCCUGCCCAAUGUUGGUUUAUCAAUGGCCGCAGUAUAUUGACUGUGCGAAGGUAGCAUAAUUAAUUGCCUUUUAAUUGGAGGCUUGUUUGAAUGGUUUGACGUGAUUGGUAUGAAGAUUUGGUAUUUAGUUGAAAUUGAUUUUGAGGGUUUAGAAUCCUUGAUGGUUAAUAAGACGGAAAGACCCUAGGAUCUUUUGUUUUUGUUUGGGGCAAAUUUUGGUGUUUUAUGAAGAUUGUGACCCU